rnacentral:snRNA from 1 species
UUAAUUACCUGACGGGGAAAAGUGGUCAAGUCAUUCCACUCUGGCUGGGCUGACCUAUGUAAUUUUCCCAAAUGUGGGAAUCUCUACUGCAUCAUUUUGUGUAUAGGGGACUCUGUUUGAGCUCUAC